rnacentral:rRNA from 1 species
UACAGAGGUCCCAAGCGUUGUUCGGAUUCAUUGGGCGUAAAGGGUGCGUAGGCGGCGCGGUAAGUCGGGUGUGAAAUCUCGGAGCUUAACUCCGAUACUGCAUUCGAUACUGCCGUGCUUGAGGACUGGAGAGGAGACUGGAAUUUACGGUGUAGCGGUGAAAUGCGUAGAUAUCGUAAGGAAGACCAGUGGCGAAGGCGGGUCUCUGGACAGUUCCUGACGCUGAGGCACGAAGGCCAGGGGAGCAAACGGG